rnacentral:rRNA from 1 species
UACGUAGGGCGCAAGCGUUAUCCGGAAUUAUUGGGCGUAAAGAGCUCGUAGGCGGUUUGUCGCGUCUGCCGUGAAAGUCCGGGGCUCAACUCCGGAUCUGCGGUGGGUACGGGCAGACUAGAGUGAUGUAGGGGAGACUGGAAUUCCUGGUGUAGCGGUGAAAUGCGUAGAUAUCGAGAGGAACACCUGCGGCGAAGGCGGGUUGCUGGGCCGACACUGACGCUGAUGCGCGAAAGCCAGGGGAGCGAACGGG